GGCUUAACCUGGGAAGUGCAUCGCAAACUGUAUUUCUGGAGUAUAUGAGAGGGUGGCGGAAUUUCCGGUGUAGCGGUGAAAUGCGUAGAGAUCGGAAGGAACGUCAAUGGCGAAGGCAGCCACCUGGCAUAAUACUGACGCUGAGGCGCGAAAGCGUGGGGAGCGAACAGGAUUAGAUACCCUGGUAGUCCACGCUGUAAACGAUGAGAACUAGAUGUUGGUUGGGGAACCAAUCAGUAUCGAAGCUAACGCGAUAAGUUCUCCGCCUGGGAAGUACGGCCGCAAGGUUGAAACUCAAAGGAAUUGACGGGGGCCCGCACAAGCGGUGGAGCAUGUGGUUUAAUUCGAUGCAACGCGAAGAACCUUACC
rnacentral:rRNA from 1 species